ensembl:lncRNA
UUCCUCUUUUCUUUCAGUACAUUUUUUUUUUUUCUAUCACUGUAUGUCGCAAAGUAGAAGCUAAAUGAGAAACUAGAUAAUUAUAACCAAUUUAAUCUAUCAUUUGAUGGGUCCUCUGGUUAUCAAUAUAUUUAAUAUGUAUUUUCCCUCAAUUGACUAAUUGAUUUAAUCAACUCACAAAAGUCACAGCUCUAAUGUCAGCCUAUUGUACUAUUGUAUUUACUCUUAUCAGAUUAUGGUGUACACUAUUGUCACAAUUUAACAUUAAAGGACCAAUGUAGGGAAAUUAAGUUCUGGACCCGAGCUGUUGCUUAGCAAUACAAUUCCCUAGAAAUGUUCUGAGUCUCUGCAUGUCAGAUAGUUGUUUUCUGCCACAUCAAUGCUUCGACUGUCUGUCAUAAAUGGCUCCAUUCAAGUUUUUGGGUGCAAACUAUUAGUGAGAAAAAUGCUGAAUACAACGGCCAAUACUUCAAUCUUCAUAAAGAAAAUUCAAUUUCCAGCCAGCGUAUACAUGCAGCCAGGGAACCAUUUGUGAAUUAUCUUCCUUCAAUAUUAAUGUUGCUUUUUUAGAUUCACCAUCGGCAACCAUUGUUGGGGGGGGAAGAAGCAAAAAGUGAAUGAAAUUACGGAGAGGAUGUUGUUAUCUAGUGGUCACGGAAACGAAGGCAAUUAAAUAAUUGUCUGUUUCAUAUCUCUGUUCUCUUCUCUCCCUGCAGGACCUUCUCAUGAACAACGGCACUGUGUUGCACAAGUGCAGCCGGAGGCCUUGCUUAUGUUCUUCUAACCCUUCUGCCCUUGACAGCGACUCCCGAGGACACGCGAGGAGGUACCGAGACACACCGUCCUGCGGCGGAGAUUCCCCGAAAGGAUCACCUCGUCUUUUGUGUCCAUUGUAACUCUCAUUCAUUCACGGGUUAAUAAUUUGACUUUAGCCGAGCCGCCUUUGUGCAACAAUCGAGAUCCAAGCCAGUUUGUUUCACCCUGUACGAUACCAGGACGAUGCAGCUCAAUAACGGUCGGUUUUCACCUGGUGCAUGUGUAAAUGGUUUAUGUAGAUACAGUCAUCUCAACUUG